rnacentral:rRNA from 1 species
GACGAACGCUGGCGGCGUGCUUAACACAUGCAAGUCGAACGAAGUGGCGAACGGGUGAGUAACGCGUAAUCAACCUGCCCUUCAGAGGGGGAUAACAGUUGGAACCGACUGCUAAUACCGCAUACUGAAGGAGGGGAAUGCGUCUGAUUAGCUGGUGGGCGGGGUAACGGCCCACCAAGGCGAUGAUCAGUAGCCGGGCGGAGAGGAGGAACGGCCAGAUUGGGACUGAGUAACGGCCCAGACUCAUACGGGGUGCAGCAGUGGGUAAUCUUCCGAAAGGGACGAAAGUGUGACGGAGCAACGCCGCGUGAGUGAUGACGGCCUUCGGGUUGUAAAGCUCGGUUAAUCGGGACGCGGUACCGGAAUAGAAAGCCACGGCUAACUACGUGCCAGCAGCCGCGGUAAUAC